rnacentral:piRNA from 1 species
UAAGAAAAAUAGAAACGGAGAAAUGAAGGG